rnacentral:rRNA from 1 species
GACGAACGCUGGCGGCGUGCUUAACACAUGCAAGUCGAACGAAAAGGCCCUGCUUUUGUGGGUUGCUCGAGUGGCGCACGGGUGAGUAACACGUGAGUAACCUGCCCUUGUCUUUGGGAUAACUUCAGGAGACUCGGGCGAAUACCCGAUAGGAGCUCCUGCUGCGUGGUGGGGGUUGGAGAGUUUCGGCGGUUGGGGAUGGACUCGCGGCUUAUCAGCUUGUUGGUGGGGUAGUGGCUUACCAAGGCUUUGAGGGGUAGCCGGCCUGAGAGGUUGACCGGCCACAAGGGGACUGCGAUACGGACCAGAAGCCUAUGGGAGGCAGCAGUCGAGAAUAUUACAGAGUGGGCGGAAGCGAGAGGCAGCAAUGCUGCGUGCGGGAUGACGUCCUUUGGGGUGUAAACCGCUUUCGAAGGAGACGAAGCGUGAGUGACGGUAAUGGGUAAAGAAGCACCGGCUAACUACGUG